GCGAUCGAACCAUAUUAAAAAAAUUAUUCGCUUUUGGCAGAGUAGCAUGAAUUAUGUUCCCGCGAAUAUUAUGUUACUUUAAACACUGAGUUAAUGUUACUACCGUGCUUACGUUUGGAUAUUCAUUAUUUGAAAGUCCCGUGUAUUUUAAACGGUAACUUUUGUCAGGUGCUGGUUUGGCGUAUGGAGUCUCGGUCAAUGAUUGACUAAAAUACACAAAGUAUGGAAUUCCUUAUUUUGUGUUUAGCUCUACAAAAACUUCCAAACGGAGUCUAAAUAAGCACUACAAGGUCGAAAAAGUUGCACUCGUUUUGAGGAAUUGAACUAAAAAGCUUCAAGCGUGACUCUUGGGUGUGGAACAAAAUGGCAGUUCACGUUUGGUAAUUCUUCCGGGGCCGGAAAAGCUCUCGCCGAGUCGGCGGCGGAGGUCCAAUCGGCUUUGUGCUCCUCUCCCGACAGCAGAGUUACAGUUGGCUUUAGGUGAGAGGCGGGGGAACAACUGGCCGCCGGCCAAUCGCAGACAAUUUCCAAAAUGCGAGGGACAUCGGCAGGCUGAAAUCAACGUACCGACCUGCAUCCUGAUUGUGGUUUUGUUGAGGGCAAAGCAAGAGGCUGCAUGGAGACGCGUUGAACGAUCCCACAGACGUCGCAAAUGUCACUGAAGCUGCUGCUCGCGACUUGAAUGACUGAAUCUUCAAAGGAGUUGCAGAGAAUCUGCUAGAACGUCAGUUCUAGCCAGUCUUCCUAACCCUAACCACAGACCACAUGGCACCAGAGCACCUCAGAACCUUCGCAUCCAGCAUCUGAUACCAGCCACUCAGACGGCGGUUGCAACAAACCACUUGGAUAAGCAAAGCAUUUUCACCUCAGUGAAAUCCGUUUGCACGCUCAUCGUCCUCAACGGGUUCUCGACCUGAGUUCGGUUCCUCGUUGUCACCGACUUGAGUGGGCAGGUAUUCACAUUUGCCGAUGAUAACCACUUUGGAUUAUAAUGAACGUGUAGCUGCAUAUUGCGAGGAGCCGUACUCAGUUGAAAACGUCCCAGUUCUUGCACGACCAGCAUGCACGCAGAACGUCACCCGUGAUACGACAGCGUAUACAUGCCAAUAUCGGGCAACUUGGCACAGCCGCUGAAGAGGAGCAGGCCAACAUCCCCGAGUGCCACGAUCGACGACCAGGUGAACUCUACGCGGUGGAGAUGCGUUGCGCUGAGUUAGGCCAAGUCGGUCAGGCUGGUUUUCUGUCUCCCUGGCAGGUGUCCAAUGUAGUCGAGUGGCCUUUUAUUGUGAGCAGCCCAAGGCAUACCCGUUCUAAUCUGCAUCUCGAUGGGCUCAGCAAAGAAGUGCUCUCCUGCGCAGAUUUUGCAAACAAGAGUCUAAAAGAACAAAGCCUUGUGCCACAUACGAGCACUCGGAAGGUCAGAAAGGCAGAAAACCAAAGUUUUGGGUUGAUAUUCUUCUUCCGUCCACGAUGUCAAACAGUCAAGUAGCGCGGUUGUUUGUUUGGUUGGAGAAAAUGUUUCACCGGAGAACGAUGAAACCAAGCGGGGACUUCUGCUGUCGCGAUGCUGCACUCUCGUUUGCGGCGUGACAGCAUGAGAACAUAACUGGAAUGCAGAGCGACAAGGCCGCGAAGGGAAAAACAGUCAGCGGCCGUUAGUAUGCGGCACCGAGCCAGCGCGCCGCCGCGGACCUUUCGCCGAAACCGUUUUCCGCGGAGCCAAAAAGAGCAGCGAAGGUAACACUGCGGCCUUUCCGAAACUGCCCCUUCUCGGUCGACAUCGGCGUCAACCCGUUUCGGGACAAAAAGGCUCGACCGUGACAUUCCCGAAACAGAAGAAGAAGAAGAAGAAGAAGGAACGUCUGCUUGAGUGGCUCAAGCGCUUAACUCUUGUGCGACUUUUAUCAGCGGCGGCCCUCUCAAGCUUGACGGCAGUAAUGAAGCCAUUAGCCACAAAAUUGACUUUGGGAUGAAUAGGGAACAUACGAGGGGUUUAAAAGGCCCAAUUUGGCAGCCGUGGUCCUUUUGUUUGAAAUUCAUAAUGACAUUUGGCCACAGACACCCUCCCCCUCCCCCUCCCCCCAUCAUCCAGUUUUCUAUCAAGUUCCGUCUUUAGUAUGCGGCAGAAUAUGAAGCGAAGCAAUUUUCUGGCUGAAAACCUUAGUGCUGCCUAAUAGCUUUCACAGGGUCUUCAAUAAAUAAUGGCAUGUUUAUAUUUAAUGCAGCGCGGUCGUGUGUUAAUCAGCGGCUGCGAGGGGAACGUUAGGACCCCGCGGCGCCGAUAUCUGACUUUUUAUUAGCGAUGUCCCCAGCAAGAGGCUUCAAUAAUUAUGAUCAAUUCUGUUUACAUUUACAUUGGAUACUUCAUGAGGUGGGGAAUUGUAACAAGAGCCAACAAGCGAACUGUGUCAAAGAUGUCGGUGUGCAGUUUCUUUCCAGGUGAACUUGCUUUGACCUCCUUGUAACUUUUCAAUGCGUGUGUGAAACUGUUAGAGGGCCACUUUUUCGUAUGUCAUUGAUGAAACAACGGCAGCCGACAUGGACCGGUGCGUUUUUUUCACCACAAAACAUGAUUUUGACGUCUGAGCCUUUUUGUAACUCCCACCAUGAAAAUCCUCUCAAGGGACUUGUUUUCGAGAAGAAGCAGGAAGUGACAUACAUGGUCAAGUGGACUCGUUUGUUUCUAUUACUUUUACCUCCAGGGAGGUCGCUCGUUGUUCCUCCGCGUUAGCCAGAAUGCCGGCUCGUUGCAUUGCUGGACAACGGAGGAUGGAUUUACCCUUCAUAAGUUUGCAAGAGACCCGCUUCGUCGCGAAAAAUGGAUUGCACGGGUGCAGAGGACGAGAGCUUCGUGGGUUCCAAAUGACAGGCGUGCGUGCGCGUCGGACGGCGUCGGGCUCACCGGCGAAGGCUGCUGCGUCGCCUCGCCAGCGAAGGAAGAACUCUGCGGAAUAAGGUCCGAUUCGCAAGAUUCACAACGGGUCUUUGAGCCAGAAAUCGACCAAGCCGGAUUCGGUUGCUGUCGGUGUUUAAACGGUCCUCUUCAUCAUGCCGUUGACAUUUUGACAUCGUGAGACCGGGACGACCUGAAGAACACCUGACCAGCAACAAGUGGCCACUCAGCUUAGAGUGUCACGUUGGGUUAUGACGAGACUGCAGCAAAUAUACAGAGAGACUGGAGGAGUCACAGAAAGGACGAUUCAUGGCUCAAUUUUGGUGUUCAGCUCCUUGCUGCUGAACAGGCUUCAACGUCUUCGAGAAGAUGCAAGCUGCACAGUCCUCUAUGGACGGGCCUUGUGGUUGACUGGCGACCAGUUCAAGGUGUUGAAAGAUAAGCAAGGUCAUCAGCGGGUAAACAUUUGCUGACAGGUUGGGGGUCCAUUUGCGGGCCUUUGACAGGUCCAGAUUUGUGUACCAGCAGCUGUACAGCAACACCGUCUCCUCAAUGUGUGACCACCAUCAGCUCGGAAACCUCUUUCCAUCUUGUCAAAAGAACACACGGCUAUGAUAACACAUCAAUAUGCCACAAAAAUGAUUGUAUCAUAAAUCUCCCAAAGUCCAAAAUGAGAUUCGUGUCUAGACACAGUCCAGAAUUCACACAAAGAAAUGCAUUCUCACCAACGGUUCCCCUUCAGAUUGGGCCAUUUCCCUUUCUUACUAAGAAUGUAUGUAAGAGUCUACAUAAUAAAAUACUGAGCAAGUGGUUCAAUGUUUGUGGUUCAAACAAUCUAUCGCAGUCCCGUCACGGGAAGAUGUCUCGGCAAACCACCGAACAAACGUGGCAUGAAAGUGAACUGCGGGUCUUUGACAGAACGGAGCUAUCGGAUAAAAUGGAUCGUCAGCAUCGUCGGACGCCUCUCUAUUAACUUUGACAAUUCUAAAUAUUUCUGUUAGUCGUGAUUGCUCGAAAUUCUUGGGGUAUGCUUAGAGAGGAUGAGAGUGUUCUGGUUGAAAGAUAAAACGGUUAAUAGGUUGUCUCUGGUAGCUCACGUCGUGAAUAGAGAGAAGCAAGAAAUCGCAAUCAAAUGUCGUCGUGCGCGACAGGGCCGGUUUUGUGCCUCUCCUGC